rnacentral:rRNA from 1 species
AUACGGAGGAUCCGAGCGUUAUCCGGAUUUAUUGGGUUUAAAGGGAGCGUAGGUUGACAUAUAAGUCAGCGGUGAAAUUUUCAGGCUCAACCUGAACACUGCCGUUGAAACUGGGAUUCUUGAGUAUGGAUGAAGUAGGCGGAAUUCGUUGUGUAGCGGUGACAUGCUUAGAUAUAACGAGGAACUCCGAUUGCGUAGGCAGCUUACUAAGCCAUAACUGACGCUCAAGCACGAAAGCGUGGGGAUCAAACAGGAUUAGAUACCCUGGUAGUCCACGCCGUAAACGAUUAUUACUAGUUGUUUGCGAUAUACCGUAAGUGACUAAGCGAAAGCGAUAAGUAAUCCACCUGGGGAGUACGCCGGCAACGGUGAA